UCUUUUACAGUACCUUGGGAUGAAUAUGGGCCAUCCAAUCCUUAGAUCGAGCCGUGGAGAUGGAGGCAUACUGCCAGAUUUCGGCCGGUCAACACGCGAGCAGUAUAGACUGUCCUGCGCCGUUCGGAACCAGCAGUAAACGUUGAUGAGGGUAAUUUAGGAAGUUCAUAUUUUGUCCCGAAAAGGCAGACUCCAUCUCCUACCCCGGUCGAUCACUUUGCCCAACCAAAAAAUCCCCUCACGCCGCCGACCUGCAACCCCGUCGUCCCUCCUCUCUCUCCGGCCUGAGCAGCGACGGAGACGGGAACCACCCUUCCGAGCCAGGGUCCGGCCGCCGCCGCCGCCGCCAACGCGCAGCCCGCGUAUCCCCUCCUCCUCGGUCGAUUUGAAUGGCCUCACGCCGCCAUGGACCUGCAACCCCGUCGUCCCUCCUCUCUCUCCGUCUUGAGCAGCGGCGGAUACGGGAACCACCCUUCCGAGCCAGGGUCCGGCCGCCGCCGCCGCCAACGCGCAGCCCCCGUAUCCCCUCCUCCUCGGUCGAUUUGAAUGGCCCCUACAAACUAGGGUUCCGGCCAUCGCUGACGCCGACCACCGUGGCGCAGCUGGUCGAUCUCCGGCCAAGAUGAUCCGCAGACAUGAAGGUUUCGGAGGGCCGCGGCCCAGCCGGUCAAGUACUGGGCCGAGGCAGACGCGGUGUCGCCGGCGGUUGCCGCGACCGCGGGGACGAAGCUGCAGGUCCUCUGAACAACGACAACGGACUCCUCUGAGCAGAAGGUUCUGAGGCGGCUGAAGAAGGUGUGCCAUGAAUCGCAGCAGGAUAAUAAGCGUCCCGCAGACUCUGAGCAUUUUUCAGUCCCUCCGAUCCAUACUAGGCAUAUGAAGUCAAAUUGUGCCUCAACUUUUGAUGAAGAAAAAGAGGACAUGAUUCCCAUCUCCUGGAGGAUUAAGCGGCGCCACCUGGAAACUAAACACGAAGAUGCCAGCUACGAAGUGAAGCCGAAGGUGUAUCCGUCUACCAGCAGUUGUUCCCAGCAAGAGUUUGGGGAAGCAACUAGAGAUUCAGCUUCAGUGGUUGAGCAGCAGGGCAGCUCAGGUUAGAGAUUUGCAAGCGAUGACAAGCCACCUGGGUAUUGGCACACGUAUUAGGGUGCGGCUACACACAGUGUUGACAAAGGGAUUCUUGAUCCUGUUCCUGUAUUGGAAAUCUAGCUUUACAAGUAAAGCUCAAGGAUAUUUUCUCAAAACCCACACCAGUAGCCGCCUAUGGUACCACAGUGGAGAAUCUACUAUGAGAGCUGGGAGUUCUUUCCUGAACUUGUCAAUGUCGGCCUGCAUAGUUAGGUGGAGACAGUUCAAUACUUCUUGCAGUUUUAAUUUCGUUUGGUUGAAAUAAUUCUGAACGGCAUACCUGUGUAAAAUUUUGUGAUAGCUCGUGUCCUAUCCAGUUUGCCAUGUUCUUGAGCGCAUAGAGUCCACAUGAAAUCCUGCAAAAAAAUCAUGUAGAUUGUAUUGUAAUCAAUAUUUAAAGUAGGAACUAGAAAUCUUAAAGGUGUGGUUAUAAUAUAAUGCAAUGUACCCGUCUUUUUGUUGU